UACAGAGGUCCCAAGCGUUGUUCGGAUUCAUUGGGCGUAAAGGGUGCGUAGGCGGCCCGGUAAGUCGGGUGUGAAAUCUCGGGGCUUAACUCCGAAACUGCAUUCGAUACUGCCGUGCUUGAGGACUGGAGAGGAGACUGGAAUUUACGGUGUAGCGGUGAAAUGCGUAGAUAUCGUAAGGAAGACCAGUGGCGAAGGCGGGUCUCUGGACAGUUCCUGACGCUGAGGCACGAAGGUCAGGGGAGCAAACGGG
rnacentral:rRNA from 1 species